AGAGUAAGUCAGCCUAAUCCCUCGCGCGAUCGUGCAAAAAGUUACUUGAAAGAUCGAGCAGGAACGGGGGAACCAAACCUGGGGCGAACCUUAGAAGGUCAAGGGGGACAUCUCUCAGUCCUAGCCCGUCAGCUAACCUCGUCGGCAUUGAGAGGAGAUUGA
rnacentral:sRNA from 2 species